rnacentral:rRNA from 1 species
GGCGGCAUACCUUGUUAUGGGGGGAAACGUUCGGAACGGACGCUAAUACCGCAUACGUCCUACGGGAGAAAGCAGGGGACCUUCGGGCCUUGCGCUAUCAGAUGAGCCUAGGUCGGAUUAGCUAGUUGGUGAGGUAAUGGCUCACCAAGGCUACGAUCCGUAACUGGUCUGAGAGGAUGAUCAGUCACACUGGAACUGAGACACGGUCCAGACUCCUACGGGAGGCAGCAGUGGGGAAUAUUGGACAAUGGGCGAAAGCCUGAUCCAGCCAUGCCGCGUGUGUGAAGAAGGUCUUCGGAUUGUAAAGCACUUUAAGUUGGGAGGAAGGGCAUUAACCUAAUACGUUAGUGUUUUGACGUUACCGACAGAAUAAGCACCGGCUAACUCUGUGCCAGCAGCCGCGGUAAUACAGAGGGUGCAAGCGUUAAUCGGAAUUACUGGGCGUAAAGCGAGCGUAGGUGGCUUGAUAAGUCAGAUGUGAAAGCCCCGGGCUUAACCUGGGAACGGCAUCUGAUACCGUUAGGCUAGAGUAGGUGAGAGGAAGGUAGAAUUCCAGGUGUAGCGGUGAAAUGCGUAGAGAUCUGGAGGAAAUACCGAUGGCGAAGGCAGCCUUCUGGCAUCAUACUGACACUGAGGUUCGAAAGCGUGGGUAGCAAACAGGAUUAGAUACCCUGGUAGUCCACGCCGUAAACGAUGUUCUACUAGUCGUUGGGUCCCUUGAGGACUUAGUGACGCAGCUUAACGCAAUAAGUAGACCGUCCUGGGAGUACGGCCGCAAGGUUAAAACUCAAAAUGAAUUGACGGGGGCCCGCAACAGCCGGUAGAAGCAUGUGGUUUAAUUUCGAUGCCACGCGAAGAACCUUACCCUGGGUCUUGACCAUAUCUUAGAAAUCCUGGCAAAGAUGCGGGAAGUGGCCUUCCGGAAUUUAGGA